rnacentral:lncRNA from 1 species
ACACACACACACACACACACACACACACACACACAGAGAGAGAGAGAGAGAGAGAGAGAGAGAGAGAGAGAGAGAGAGAGAGAGGGAGGCCCUCCUGGAAGGUGGGGAUCCUACAAAACAGCAGCAUCAGUCUGGACAGGGCCACAGAUGGGUGUGACAAGGACAAGACAAAUGUCACCUCACAUCAUAUUUAGGGAUUCCAAAAUAGUCCCACAAUAACUCAAACCCAGGAUGUGAUAUGAGCCUCAGACCUCUAAGAAAGAUGCUCUUUCCCUGACAGCCCUCCGGGUUGUCUGUGGACAGACACACCCUGCCCAAGGGAGGUGGCAGGAUCCUUUCUGAGUAACCUUGUCUGUUUCAGAAAGGAGUUUCAGAAAAGAGACCUCCUGUCUCAUUGACUUCACCUUGGCUGGUGUGUUUGGGAAAUCUGUCUUACAUAUUUGAGUACCUGCCUGGAAAGACCAUUUGCUGCCAUUCCUUCUGGAUUGGAAUGACUGAGGUGACAAGCAUAAACUGUCCAAGGACAAGGACAAUUAAAGGCUAGUGUUUGGUGAAACGAGCUACUAAAAAGUACGCAGUUUUUAAUGCUUAGUUUAAAACAGAGAUGCCAGAGCUGGAGAGAUGGUCCAGUCAGUGAAAUCCUGAGUUUGGAUCCCCAGCAACUGCACAAAAGCUGGGUACUGCAGCUUGCUCUGUGAUGCCACUAUGAAGGAGGCAAGGACAAAAGAACCCUGGGGCUCACAGGCCAGCCAGCCUAGCCAAUCACUGAGAGCCCUGUCUGAAAAUAAGCUAGGGAGCUAUUAAGGAAGACGUUUGAUGUCAACCCCUGGCCAGGAAUCGAACUCAAGUUGUCAGCCUUGGCAGCAGACACUUUUACCCAUACAGCCAGCCCUUCAUUGAUUUUUUUUUUUUUUUUUUGUAAGCUAAUGAGGUUCCUGGAGGUUCUUGUAAUGGCCUUGUUUGAUUUCUCUAAAUCUGUCUUCCCCAGCCCAGGCAUAAAUCUCUACAAGAAAUUUCUGACAUGGUUCCUGACUGUGGAGACACAAUCAUUCUGAUCAUUAACGGUUGGUACUACAGGUGGCAGGGGGGCUGGCAGAGCCUCUUACCCAAAAUUGGCCUGGAGUGCCUAUUAGAAUCCUCAGAAGUAAUAGUCUACCUGUGAAAGCCAUUCUACACUGGCUGCCCUACUGGGAAGCCUCCCUUCCCCUCUGACCCCGCAUCCCUCACCACGGCAAGGCCACAUGCCUGGCAGAGGGGGCUGUUGGGAACAAUUCUCCUCCUGCAAACACAAUUAGUUUUGAGAUUGAGCCAAAACUCUCACUGGGGCCCAGCUCAAAGACUUCCUUCAUUACCUUAGGCUGGUGAAGACUGUAAGGAGGGCUCAUUUCCAAGUCUUAUGCUAGGAGCAGAGUAAAGAGGUUCGUGUAGCAGGUUUGCUUUUGAACCCUGAAGCCAGCUAUCAUUUCUAGGAGGUCAUUGCCAACAAUUGCUUUAAAAAACAAAACAAAUCAAAACAACAGCCACAAAGUACGAACAUCCUUCCACCUACUGUCUAAGUGGCCAGUGGGGUGGCCUCAGGGACCCCUGGAAGUUCAAACACAGUCUCCUCUCUGUUUUAUUCUCCAUUUCUCCCUGCAGCUGCUAUACUUCUUACAGAUAGACUUCUCAAAGGGGCUGCCGGUACUUGUUUGUGAGCCUCAUCUUUUGCCCUUCUGCAAGAUUUGGGGAGAGGCUAUUAUGUGCUAGAAUGGUUUUAAGCAGCAGGGUGGAAGCUGAGAGCCCUAGGAUGAGUGGUUUGCUCUGGAUGCUCUGUAGGUCAGUCAGGGGAUGCCGCCUGGGCCCGGAGGUUGGGAGCAUCUGCUACACAAGACCAGGAAUCGCCUCUCAGAAGGAGGUGUUUAAGCUGGUCAGUGAGGAUGAACCCAGGGACUUCAGGGAGGCUGGGGACAGAAAUGCUGACAGACAAGUAUACUGGUAGGAAAGUGUGGCACCCAUUCAAAAGAACAUCUAGCUAAGUGAGCAGCCAGGUAGCUUGCCUUGACCAUGAAAGACGUAAACUAAAAUAGGAGAUGGCUACGGAGCUUGAAGCCUUGGAGCACAGUGUUGUGACAAAGUGGAGAGGAAAGACCAGUUUUCCAAAGGGAAGAUAGAUUGCUCCCAAAUCCAGAAGUGGGUAAUUAGUAGGACAAUCCCUUGGAUCUCAUAACCCAACUGAUAGGGAAUGGGAGAGACAUAUAGGAACACUUUCAUAUUCUGUAUUUUAAAUACACACUUGUUCUCCAUAUUGGCAUAAAGAACCAGUUCACACACAUUAUUCCUAGCUCAGCACUCACACGCUACUAAUGAUGUUAGUUUCCAGUUAACCCCUUCCACCCCAAGUGCCCCUGGAGGACCUGCUGCAAGUGUCCACAGCAGAAACUGGUGAGUCAGCCUUUAAAGAAGUCACUGAGCCCAGACAGCUGCAGAGCAGAGAGUGAGAGAGAUAGUAAGGACAUCACAAGGCAGGGAUGGUGGCGUUUUGGUUUCAGCAGAAUGUCACGCACACAGGGCUGCAGACUUUAAAGUCAGGGUUUGCCCUAGCAAGCCAGGCUCAGCCACCUGCCUUGAAUAAGCCAAUUUUAAAAGCUAAAUUAGUAAAGUGAAGCAGAAAAGAUUUAGUCAAUGUGAUCACACUGGAAGUAGCAUCAGUCCUGCUUAAGGUGUGGCCCCCAACAUUGUUGCCUGGGCUCUAGUUCUUCCUGUAAGACAGUCUGUUGUCUAUCUCUUUCCAGGUCCCCGUGGUACUUUAACAGUCCAGACAGCCAGAGUCAAGGACACGAGUCUCUUCAGAACAUGCUCUUUCCUCCCAAGCAAGCCAGCUACAAUAACAGGAUGCCCAGUGAACAUUUACUAUUGUUAAGAAUUGGAUGAGUUUGCCUUUUAAAGACAAAUAAAUCGAUGGCAACAGAAAAUGAAUGGUAACAUUCUUUUAUACCUUCCUUAGGAUCAAAAUGCCGGACAAAAUUUGUGACCCUUGGUCUCACCCCCAGCUGACAGAACUGUGACCCAGAAGUGCCUUUCACCACAUAUGCCUAAUACCCCAGACGCAAUACUCUGCUUCUAGCUACUUGGCCUGAGCACAAAAUACUAACAAGAUCUAGAAUCUCAGCACAAAGUUGAGCCACCUUAUAGAAUGUUCCUCUGGUCCACUGUAGUCAGUUCCUAUAACAGAGCAGCACAGCUCCUUAACGUGGGAAGGCUCUUGAAUUACGUGGAGAAUUUAGUUUAAGCUCACUUAUAUAAUAGGUAGGGUUAGCCCUGUGGGUGAUGGUGGUGGGGUUUCAGAACACUCACUGGCAACCUACACAGAAAGCUUAAAGGCAUAGAUGAUCUACUGUUGUGUGUUAUUAACAG